UACGUAGGGGGCUAGCGUUGUCCGGAAUUAUUGGGCGUAAAGAGCUCGUAGGCGGUCUGUCGCGUCGGUCGUGAAAACUUGGGGCUUAACCCUGAGCUUGCGGUCGAUACGGGCAUGACUGGAGUUCGGCAGGGGAGACUGGAAUUCCUGGUGUAGCGGUGAAAUGCGCAGAUAUCAGGAGGAACACCGGUGGCGAAGGCGAGUCCCUGGACAACACCUGACACUGAGGCACGAAAGCUAGGGGGAGCAAACAGG
rnacentral:rRNA from 1 species